rnacentral:rRNA from 1 species
GACGAACGCUGGCGGCGUGCCUAAUACAUGCAAGUCGAGCGGAGCACUUCGGUGCUCAGCGGCGGACGGGUGAGUAACACGUAGGCAACCUGCCUGUAAGACCGGGAUAACUACCGGAAACGGUAGCUAAGACCGGAUAACUGGCUUUUCCGCAUGGAGAGAUCAUGAAACAUGGGGCAACCUAUGGCUUACGGAUGGGCCUGCGGCGCAUUAGCUGGUUGGUGGGGUAACGACCUACCAAGGCGACGAUGCGUAGCCGACCUGAGAGGGUGAACGGCCACACUGGGACUGAGACACGGCCCAGACUCCUACGGGAGGCAGCAGUAGGGAAUCUUCCGCAAUGGACGCAAGUCUGACGGAGCAACGCCGCGUGAGUGAGGAAGGUCUUCGGAUCGUAAAGCUCUGUUGCCCUAGACAAACGCUUGGGAGAGUAACUGCUCUCAAGGUGACGGUAUAGGAGAAGAAAGCCCCGGCUAACUACGUGCCAGCCGCCGCCGUAAGAC